rnacentral:rRNA from 1 species
CCUACGGGAGGCAGCAGUGAGGAAUAUUGGUCAAUGGACGAGAGUCUGAACCAGCCAAGUAGCGUGAAGGAUGACUGCCCUAUGGGUUGUAAACUUCUUUUAUAAAGGAAUAAAACGAGGCACGUGUGCCUUUUUGCAUGUACUCUAUGAAUAAGGAUCGGCUAACUCCGUGCCAGCAGCCGCGGUAAUACGGAGGAUCCGAGCGUUAUCCGGAUUUAUUGGGUUUAAAGGGAGCGUAGAUGGGUUGUUAAGUCAGUUGUGAAAGUUUGCGGCUCAACCGUAAAAUUGCAAUUGAUACUGGCAGUCGUGAGUACAGUUGAGGUAGGCGGAAUUCGUGGUGUAGCGGUGAAAUGCUUAGAUAUCACGAAGAACCCCGAUUGCGAAGGCAGCUUACUAAACUGUGACUGACAUUGAUGCUCGAAAGUGUGGGUAUCAAACAGGAUUAGAUACCCCUGUAGUC